GGCCGGAUCUGAGAUCCAACUACGAGCUUUUUAACCGCAACAACUUUAAUAUACGCUAUUGGAGCUGGAAUUACCGCGACUGCUGGCACCAGACUUGCUCUCAAUGGAUCCUCGUUAAAGGAUUUAGAGUGUACUAUUCCAAUACGGGGUCCAAGAGUCCCGUAUUGUUAUUUUUCGUCACUACCUCCCGUUCUGGGAGUGGGUAAUUUGCGCGCCUGCUGCCUUCCUUGGAUUGGUAGUGUUCUCAGGCUCCCUCUCCGGAAUCGAACCCUGAUUCCCCGUCACCUGUUACGACCAUGGUAGGCGCGUAACCUACCAUCGACAGUUGAUAAGGCAGACACUUGAAAGAUACGUCGCCGGGACGAGCCCGUGCGAUCAGCCCAAAGUUAUCAGAGUCACACAAAGUACGGAGAGCCCGAUUGGUUUUGGUCUAAUAAAAGCGCUCGUUCCCGAAGGUCGGAGCUCUGCUGCAUGUAUUAGCUCUAGAAUUGCCACAGUUAUCCAAGUAGUAAGGUACGAUCCAAGGAACCAUAACUGAUUUAAUGAGCCAUUCGCGGUUUCGCCUUAAUACGGCAUGUAUGAGACAUGCAUGGCUUAAUCUUUGGAGACAAGCAUAUGACUACUGGCAGGAUCAACCAGGU